GGACCAAGGAGUCUAGCAUGUGCGCGAGUCAUUGGGACUCUAACGAAACCUAAAGGCGCAAUGAAAGUGAAGGCCCGCCUAGCGCGGGCCGAGGGAGGAUGGGCUUUCCCAAGGGAUCGCCCCGCACUCCCAGGGCGUCUCGUUCUCAUUGCGAGAAGAGGCGCACCAAGAGCGUACACGCUGGGACCCGAAAGAUGGUGAACUAUGCCUGGUCAGGACGAAGUCAGGGGAAACCCUGAUGGAGGUCCGUAGCGAUUCUGACGUGCAAAUCGAUCGUCGGAACUGGGUAUAGGGGCGAAAGACUAAUCGAACCAUCUAGUAGCUGGUUCCCUCCGAAGUUUCCCUCAGGAUAGCUGGCGCUCGCUUCUCGCGAGUCUCAUUCGGUAAAGCGAAUGAUUAGAGGCAUUGGGGUCGAAACGGCCUCAACCUAUUCUCAAACUUUAAAUGGGUGAGAUCUCCGGCUUGCUUGAACUGUGAAGCCGCGAGAUAUCGGAUCAGAGUGCCAAGUGGGCCACUUUUGGUAAGCAGAACUGGCGCUGUGGGAUGAACCAAACGCUGAGUUAAAGCGCCUAAAUCGACGCUUAUGGGAUACCAUGAAAGGCGUUGGUAACUUAAGACAGCAGGACGGUGGCCAUGGAAGUCGGA
rnacentral:rRNA from 1 species